ensembl:lncRNA
GUUCUUCCUCACUUAAUAUUAUAGAUUUUAUGUCAUUUAUAGCAGUUUAAAUAUAGUACAGAAACACGUUGUUGCUAUAAUACAUUACUUUUAUCUUUUAUUUCUCAGCGUGCGUUCCAAAAAUGCCCCUAUCUCCUAUUCCUAACCAGUGAUGGGAAUAAUGGCGUUACAAGUAGCGUUGUUAUUAACAGCAUGAUUGCUGCUGUUUGACUGAGGAAGAAUAAAUGAGUCGUGGUAAGCCAAUCCUAUGACCACUUUAAAAUGACAAAGCAACAAGGUGAUAUAUACCAAGUUUUAAAUUGUGUUGAUGGGCCACGUAAAACCAGAGUCAUGAUAAACAGUAAAAAUAUAACGUUUUCUACUCGGAUUUUAUGUUUUUUGUCCGAUUUUAGAUCAAAUGUGUUAAUACAGUAUGUCAAAAUAAAAACAUAACCGUAAAUUCAGACACGUGAGGUUGUGCUGAAAAGAAUGAGACCAAGCAAGGCAAGUAAAUAGUUUUUAAAGGUGAAAUGUAGAGGUCAAAUCAAAAGUAGUUAAAAAUGGCCAAUUAUACCCUGGGCCCCAGAGGGUUAAAGAUUUUUUUUUUAAGUAACGCAAUAGUUACUUUUCAAGUAAUUAAUUACUUUUAGUAUCUUGUAACUCACUAACUCAGUUACUUUUUUGUAGAAGUAACUAGUACCUAUAAUUAAUUACCUUUUCAAAGUAACUUGUCCAACACUGUUCCUAACCUCUUUUUAUUGAUCUCAAUACAAGCACCAUAGAGGUCAAGGAAAAGUGCAUACGAGAAUUGCUAAGGACUCAGGAAAAGAGAAGAGUUGUGCGUUGAGGUUUGGAACUAUCUUACUCUAGUCUAUCCCUAUAAAUGUGCUGCCUUAUGUUUUGAAAAUGCAAUGUGCAGAAGAUGAACUGCAAGACCAAAGGUCUCUAAACCGGAGGUCUUGUAAGGUCAUGCAACGAGAACAGCCUGUGAAAAAUAUCCUUCAUUAUGAACGGUGGAAUUUUAGGGGCCAGAUUUAUUAAAUACUAACUCUGCCUCUUGAUUGACUGAAGAGGCUCAUUGUCACUUUAUGACUGACAGUUAUGAACAGGAGUAUUUUUACAGCUGAACUUGUGUCGUAUAUGUUUUUAAGAGUUUCAUUUCACAAGAAGAAUAAUUCAAUAUCUUGUUUUAUUGCCAAACGUUUGGCUCUGUCCUAAUAAUCUUAACUCAGUCCUCACACCAAACAUUUAGAUCAUCUUAUUGUUCCUCAGUAAUGCUGGGAGUUUCAUAAAACAGAGCAGAAUGAACUGAAUGAGCUAGGCUCUCAGCAGUGAGCUAGGCUGUUGUUCAAUUUAUACAUUUCUUCCUUCAGGUCAGGUUGCAGCAACUCCACUGUCUGCACGACCCGUCAUAGAUGAAUCCUCUCACCGUCCUUCUCAUUUUGUCUCUUAAUUCGGCAUCUACAGGCUUAAAAGAGAUAGAUGUGCAGGCAGACAGGAACGCCCAGCUGGAGUGUCAGGGUCCUAAAAAAGCCAAACUUGUCCUGUUAGAGUGGAAAAGACUUGAUCUGUUGUCGGAUGGAUACGUCUUCUUCUACCGAGAUGGUCAUCUUCAUAAAACCUUCCAGCAUCCAACUUUUAGAGAUCGAGUGGAACUGAGAGAUCCGCAGAUGAAAAAUGGGAACAUGUCCAUCAUUUUGUCCAACACCACAAUUAAAGACACUGGAACGUAUGAGUGUCGUAUCAUCGCACAAAACACAAGAGACAGUAGCAGCUCUGCCUUUGAGAUCAAGCAUGAAAUCAAGCUGACAGUUGUUCCUCCAGGUCGGGCACAAGAGGUCACCGUACUUAGAGAUGAGGAGAAUGGAGGUAUGGACGUUGGGAACAAGGAUGAAAGAGAUGGAGGAUUUAUUGGACUAACAGGUGGUCUGUUAGCUUUGGUGGUGAUUCUUGUUGUUUUGUUUUCUUACAAUGUGUUCUUUUCCUCCUGUUGGAAAAGAAAGUUCAUAAAGCACAACAGAUGUGUUUUUGGGAAGAUAUGACAAAACGGUCGCAAAAGUGACAAACUAACAGCAAUUGGUUAAUUGCCAACAUGCAUUUAAAAUAUUAUAUGAAUCAUGUCAUUAAAACACACAUUGCGUGCAUCUUCUGUUUUCUUCUAAGCAUGUGCAGUCGUUUGCAUUUUUUGUUCCAUCACAGUAUUGUUACCCCAACACAAGCCCGUGGGGAGUAGGGUUGCUGAGGUUUGCUGCUCCAACCCUUGUCGCAAAAACAAAUGUCUUCAGAAAUGUUUUAUUUAGGAAGUAGAAUUAAUUAAUGAAACAAGUAAAAAAGGUUUUUCUCCCCCUGUAAAGCAUUAUAGUCAAAUAACAUGCAUACUAGAUACCAGUACAAGUGGUGUAAUUUACAAAAAGAGCUAACAGACAACAGCUGUCACCAGCUAAAUGCUCUCCCUAACAUUUUGAACACUUUGGACAUCACUGCUCCUCCUGAGGAAAUUUAUCACCAAAACUUAAAGUCACAUUUAGAGUAUUAAUAUCACACACUCAGACAAAGGUUACAUUUUAGCUUAUUAUGAGAUGUCAUCACAAAGUUUAACAUUAUACUUAAGCAAUAAUUUCACCUUCCCACUUUUGUUUCCAAAGGGUUCUUGACUAUGUGUGUAAAUUUGACUUUUGGCUGAGUGAAAUAUCCAUAUAUGACUUGGUUCUGUUACAUUUUGGCUCUUUAUGUGAGCACCGGGAUCUGUAACUGGGGCUACACUGACUAGAGUAGUACACCAAUCCAGUGUUGAGUAGCACAGAGCUGUUGCCUUAAAUAGUGGCAGGAAAAUGCAGGAACACGGGUUACUUGCAGGUGCGUAGGUCAAAUGCGGGGACCUCUAAUAAGUUCUACCCAGUUGGAGAGGAGUGGAAGAGAGAGAGAGAGAGAGAGAGCAACAUAACAAAAACCCAGCUGACAUCAAGACAUCUGCCCGUUCAUCACUGGGAUGAGAAAGUGUUGCAGCUCUCAGUCUGACAAAACCUGCAAAUAUACACAUUGUUCAAAUGACUUGAUAUCUUCCACAAAAGAUAUGUUUGACAUGGACCAACAACAGUUAAAAUACUGGAAAUCACUUUUUGGCAAUUUGAUAAAUAAAUGAAUUUUUGGGAAAACUGUGAACUAUGAGAUUUAUUUUAACACAGUUACCUGCUUUUUUAAAAUAAUUUUAUUACUGGUCCUGGUGGCAAAAAUAAACUUCAUAAACUUACCUUUCUAAAUGCUGUAACACUUUCAUUUGUGG